GCCUGGGUGGCUCAGUCGGUGAAGCGUCUGACUUCGGCUCAGGUCAUGAUCUCACGGUUCGUGGGUUCGAGCCCCACGUCGGGCU
rnacentral:tRNA from 1 species